rnacentral:tRNA from 2 species
GGUGGGGUGUCGGAGUGGUCGAUCGAACCUGUCUUGAAAACAGGCGUGGGCGUAAGUCCACCCAGAGUUCGAAUCUCUGCCCCACCGCCA